GCCGGGGUGGCGGAAUUGGUAGACGCAGCGGAUUCAAAAUCCGCCGGUAGAGAUACCGUGUCGGUUCGAGUCCGACCCUCGGCACCA
rnacentral:tRNA from 3 species